UUUUCUUCUUUGUUUACAAUCCUACUGACAGCUCACAUAACCCCGGUACUGAAAGUUGACUUGAAUUAAAACCGGUAAAGCAGAAACAAUACAGUUUUCCAGAACAGCACAGUGUUCAUAUAUGGACACCCUUCUGUGGAUUUGCAGCCCCCAGCUCUAUCACUAUGAAAGAAUUGAUUUGAGUGCAGAAAACUGCAGGCAUUUAAGGCCUGUUAAUCUGCCCAAACGGCCGCUGAAGGCCCUGAAACUAGACUGCGUUUUUGUGCAUUAUUUCGUUAAAGCUAUGGAUGAAAGUUCCGUUUAUCGACGCGGUGUUUUGGACACUGUUCAAAGGUGGCGAGCUCCUGAUGUAUUAAUCUUGAGCCCCACAGAUAAAGAUCUAAUAGAUUAUAACUGUUUUUAGGAAUGCAAGAGUGUACAGAAUGGUUAGGGAGAGAUGCGAAGUUGAUCACGCAUUUAGUUGGCUAUCGACCCUAGGAGGGGCAUUUUCGGCACUAGGGGACUAUUUCGAAAAUUGCGCCGAAACGGCAGGUAGAAUAUCGAUGCAACAACUGAUGUUAGCAGCCAGAAUAGGCGACCCAAAUGUCCAGGCCAGGUGUAGGCUCUACUUUAGCCUCAGCUUAAUCCAGAAGAAGAGGUUCCAGCUAGCAAGCAGAAUCAUCAGACAAGAGUACCAUUUGGCACAGCGCCAAGCUGCUAUAGAUGAACGACUAGUCAGAAUGUGCAAGGGGAUUUGGGCCAAGCUGCAAUACGAACAUGGAACCCACAAAAGAAACACCAGUAGACUAAAAUGAUACACUCAGGUCUAACUGCUGGAAAUGAAAUAAAAGUCCCAAGGAUACACUUUAAUCUGUAUACUUUCAAUAUGUUAAACCAUAUACAUGAAA
rnacentral:misc_RNA from 1 species